GCGUCCGUGGUGUAAUGGUUAGCAUGGUUGCCUUCCAAGCAAUCGACACGGGUUCGAUUCCCGCAGACGCA
rfam:Toxocara canis scaffold471, whole genome shotgun sequence.